UAAUGGAAAGUGGUGGAAAGUGGUGUUGCUUCAUGGUUGUGAGUUAUUUCCAGUGUGCAAUCAAGAAGCUGGUCAAAAAGCUUGCUAAGAAGUACCAUGCUUUCCUAGCAUCAGAGGCGAUCAUGUAUAUUCACAUUUGUUCUAUGUGAAGCAGAUAGUAUUCCAUAUGUAAAUUUGGAUGAUUUGACUUGUAUUCCUUGUCUUUGUAAAGAUUAAAUGCUUUUUGAAUAUUGCUGGUAUUAGAUGAAUGAACAGAUAACUUGUAAAGGUUAAUUCCUUAUGUUCAGCUUUUUGUAAAGAUUGAAUGCCUUCUUAAUGUCAAUGAUGCUGGGACAAGAUUGAAUGACUUAUUUUUGUCAUGCUUAUGAUAACUUCUCAUCUUCAUAAAUAUCAUACCAGUUUUUGUUUCUUUUACAUUUUUUACGAUCUUGCCUUUCGUGUUUUUAAUGGUUCGGUUUUUCUUAUGUUGUUUUCUUUUUUUAUCAUCUCUCUAAUAUUUUCUAGGCUUUCUUAUGUUGUUUUAUUUUUUUGAUUUUUAGAGGAACUAUGUCAGUUGAUCGUAAUUGGAUGUACCACCGACUUAGUGAAAAUGGUUAUAUAAGAGCUGAGUUCUGUGAUGGAGUUAAAGGGUUCCUUGAGUUUGCAUUUACUCAGUUAGAGUAUUGUAGUGGUGAUAAGAUUAGAUGCCCUUGUAUAAGAUGUGACAACCAGAAAUUUCUUAACCGUGAUACGGUCAAUGUUCAUCUGUUGAGAAAGGGGUUUACACCGAUCUAUAUAUUGUUAGGAGAUACACACAAUUCUUCCAGGACAAUUGCAUCAUGUGCAUGAAGUUUGGAACAAGCAUUGUCAGCGACGAUUGACAACCUCAUUAGGGAAGGUCAGAAGCCAAAAGCUUCUGGAAGCAAAAGGAGAUUUAAACAAAGCCCGUGAUAAACCCCCUAAUUGGAUCUCUAGAGAAAAUUGGAAUAAGCUAAUUGAUAUUUGGAUCUCCCCAAAAUGGAAGAAGAAAUCAGAAGCCAACAAAAAUAAUAGAAACACCAUGAAGAACGGUAGCAUCUCUAAACACUGUGGAGGAUCAAUCACAUUUAUCAAUCAUGACGAACGAUUGAAAUUAAAGUUAGGCAGGGAGCCAACAAUAGUUGAAUCAUUUAAUCGGACGCAUAAGACAAAGCAAGGCAUGGGAGGAUAUGUAGAUAAGAGAAGUGAAGCUGUCAUGGCAAAGUAUUCAGCUGAAUACUCC